rnacentral:rRNA from 1 species
UACGUAGGGGGCAAGCGUUGUCCGGAAUCAUUGGGCGUAAAGAGCGUGUAGGCGGCCCGAUAAGUCCGCUGUGAAAGUCCAGGGCUCAACCCCGGGCGUGCGGUGGAUACUGCCGGGCUAGAGGGUGGUAGAGGCGAGUGGAAUUCCCGGUGUAGCGGUGAAAUGCGCAGAUAUCGGGAGGAACACCAGUAGCGAAGGCGGCUCGCUGGGCCAUUCUUGACGCUGAGACGCGAAAGCUAGGGGAGCGAACAGG